UCCGAUGUGUUGGGGGCGGUUGGUGGGGUGGCUGAUGUGAAAGUGGGGGCUGCAAUUCUGAACAGUUCUUCGCCGACUACUCAACGCGGAACAGCGGCGCACCCGACUCGCCUGAAAACCACAUGUGGGACCAGAAAUGGAGAACUGGGUUGGACCGGCGAGACAGAGGUCUUUGAGAGACCGGCUGCGGCAAGGGAUAGCCGGCGGCCUUCCUUGGCAGUAAGUAAGCUGAUAAACCGUUUGAAAGUGCAUAGAUCGUAAGUUAUUUAUUUCUCGUAGUGCGAUAAUUUACCGUAAUAUAGUGUAUAUUGUUUUCUGCAUAUGAGAACAAUUGCUUUUAUGAACAUAUCCUAAAAGAAAAUUGUUCAAGAACGUACGAAUGUUUUAUAAUUGACUUCUUAUCCUUAAACCGAUCGCAAAAAAACCAUCAUAGCCGCUAUUAAUGACGGAGAGCGAAAAACAAAAUAGACAAAAGUCCCUUACUGACAAUUGCAGGAUAUCUUUUUGGAAUUAUUCGCUUCGACUGCCAUUGAGAUAAGUGAUGCUGGGAGUUGGAGAUCCAUUGUUCGCAGAAAGACAAAAGGCGUCGGCCUAUUGUCCGUAUUGACGCUCGAAUCUGAAUCAAUCGGUAGCUACCGAUAACGCUCAGGUGUAUACAACUGCAGUAACGUGGGGGUUGAAUCGCCACGACUUGAAUGAUCCUGAUUUUUUGUCAAUGUUGCCUAGGAACAAAUAUGGCUGCAAAAAUCAAUAUUUAAAAUUACAAGUAAAAAUAUGUUAUGUAUAUCUGAACAAUAAUGAAAGAACUGACGUAAAAUCGUUAUGGUAUAAUACACAUACAAUCCUGCAGUAAUUUGAAAAGUGAAAGGAUGGAUGAAACCCUAUUGUUCUCCUGCGAUAGCGAAAUAAAUUAAGAUAGCGAUAUUUUUCACGACUUUGGCUCAAUAUUUUAAGUCUCCGUUCAUAA